rnacentral:misc_RNA from 1 species
GAUGAAGAACGCAGUGAAAUGCGAUAAGUAAUGCGAAUUGCAGAAUUCCAGUGAGUCAUCGAAUCUUUGAACGCACAUUGCGCCCUUUGGUAUUCCGAAGGGCAUGCCUGUUCGAGCGUCAUUUCACCACUCAAGCCUCGCUUGGUAUUGGGCAACGCGGUCCGCCGCGUGCCUCAAAUCGACCGGCUGGGUCUUCUGUCCCCUAAGCGUUGUGGAAACUAUUCGCUAAAGGGUGUUCGGGAGGCUACGCCGUAAAACAACCCCAUUUCUAAGGUUGACCUCGGAUCAGGUAGGGAUACCCGCUGAACUUAAGCAUAUCAAUAAGCGGAGGA